rnacentral:rRNA from 1 species
GACGAACGCUGGCGGCGCGCUUAACACAUGCAAGUCGAACGGAAAGGCCCGCCUUUCCUUGUGGGUUCCGGGGACUCGAGUGGGGGAAAGGUGAGUAACACCUGCGUGUUCUGCCCCCAAAUUGGGUAGAAACCUGGGAAAAUGGGGCUUAUUCCCGAUAGGAGCACAGGGGGGGUCCUGAGGUGGAGGAGGGUGUUCUAGGGGUUGGGGGUGAGCUCCCGGCCUAUCAGCUUGUUGGUGGGGGAAUGGCCUACCAAGGCGGCGACGGGUAGCCGGCCUGAGAGGGUGGACGGCCACAUUGGGACUGCGAUACGGCCCAGACUCCUACGGGAGGCAGCAGUGGGGAAUAGUGCACAAUGGGCGGAAGCCUGAUGCAGCGACGCCGCGUGGGGGAUGCCGGCCUUCGGGUUGUAAACUCCUUUCGACCGCGAGGAAGCCACCUGGUUGGAAGGGUGGUGACGGUAGUGGUAGAAGAAGCACCGGCUAACUACGUG